rnacentral:rRNA from 1 species
UACGUAGGGUGCGAGCGUUGUCCGGAAUUACUGGGCGUAAAGAGCUCGUAGGUGGUUUGUCGCGUUGUCCGUGAAAACUCACAGCUUAACUGUGGGCGUGCGGGCGAUACGGGCAGACUGGAGUACUGCAGGGGAGACUGGAAUUCCUGGUGUAGCGGUGGAAUGCGCAGAUAUCAGGAGGAACACCGGUGGCGAAGGCGGGAUCCUGGGCCAGUACUGACGCUGAGGAGCGAAAGCGUGGGGAGCAAACAGG